GGAAGGAUCAUUAGUGAAUAUAGGACGUCCAACUUAACUUGGAGUCCGAACUCUCACUUUCUAACCCUGUGCACUUGUUUGGGAUAGUAACUCUCGCAAGAGAGCGAACUCCUAUUCACUUAUAAACACAAAGUCUAUGAAUGUAUUAAAUUUUAUAACAAAAUAAAACUUUCAACAACGGAUCUCUUGGCUCUCGCAUCGAUGAAGAACGCAGCGAAAUGCGAUAAGUAAUGUGAAUUGCAGAAUUCAGUGAAUCAUCGAAUCUUUGAACGCACCUUGCGCUCCAUGGUAUUCCGUGGAGCAUGCCUGUUUGAGUGUCAUGAAUACUUCAACCCUCCUCUUUCUUAAUGAUUGAAGAGGUGUUUGGUUUCUGAGCGCUGCUGGCCUUUACGGUCUAGCUCGUUCGUAAUGCAUUAGCAUCCGCAAUCGAACUUCGGAUUGACUUGGCGUAAUAGACUAUUCGCUGAGGAAUUCUAGUCUUCGGAUUAGAGCCGGGUUGGGUUAAAGGAAGCUUCUAAUCAGAAUGUCUACAUUUUAAGAUUAGAUCUCAAAUCAGGUAGGACUACCCGCUGAACUUAAGCAUAUC
rnacentral:rRNA from 1 species